AAAAUAGAUGAUAAGCGUGUUCCUCUUUAGGAAUCAGUUGCCCUAAUUCCAUUUCUAGCUACUGAUGUAGAUGAAAUUGACGCACAUUCUAUGUAAACAUCAUGAAACUCUUUAUCUUAACAAGAACGAACACAAAAGAAUUGUCCAUCUUCGCUGACAAACCAGCAUAUAGGAUUAUAGUCCAUCCUUCUCUGUUGCUUGGAUUCAAUUCUUUUUUAAUUAAAACCAGAAAAAAAAAAGCAUAAAUAGCAGGGAUUCAUUAUGAAUAGGAGUUAAAUAUUUAAUCAAAGAGAGAAAAGCAAAGAAGAGAAGCGAAGGGGUUUCUCUCAGACAAAUGCCUCGAU
rnacentral:misc_RNA from 1 species